UCUUUGCUUCCUACAGAAACACAGUAAUACAAAGUUAUUUCAGAGAGACGUUUAAAGACCUACAAAGGCCUCUUAGAUUUGCCAACACCAAGAUCAGCUCAGGGACCCCAGCAAACCUACACAAAUCUGUAGUGAGUGUGAAGGAAGAAGUUAACUCCCCGGCUAGCAGCCAGCUGUUCUAGCCCAAACUAGUGAUUUUUCAAUGAGUUGCAAAGUAGUGAUUGCUUCUUGGCUCCAUGCCUCCAGCAAAGAUACCUACCACCCUGUAUCCGUUUAAUUUUGCUCCACCCCUUAAAAUGAAAGCCCACACGAUGGCAAAUUAGACAGUUGAUUUCCUCCCUUGCAAAUAAAACUGCUUACUCUCCCUCCUCCUCCCUCCCUGCCAUCUGACUCCUGCCUAGGCAGCCCUUCCCCAGGAGUCUGUCGGAUCCCACCUCCCCUCUUUAAACAAGUGGCUGCCAGCUUGCAUGUCGUGCGGACUCUCACACAGCCCUAUUCAGAGGUCUACGUGGUCAACAACUGAAGCUUCCUGACAACACCCA
rnacentral:lncRNA from 10 species